rnacentral:rRNA from 1 species
AAACCAACAGGGAUUGCCCCAGUAACGGCGAGUGAAGCGGCAACAGCUCAAAUUUGAAAUCUGGCCCCAGGCCCGAGUUGUAAUUUGCAGAGGAUGCUUUUGGCGCGGUGCCUUCCGAGUUCCCUGGAACGGGACGCCAUAGAGGGUGAGAGCCCCGUACGGUUGGACACCAAGUCUUUGUAAAGCUCCUUCGACGAGUCGAGUAGUUUGGGAAUGCUGCUCAAAAUGGGAGGUAUAUUUCUUCUAAAGCUAAAUAUUGGCCAGAGACCGAUAGCGCACAAGUAGAGUGAUCGAAAGAUGAAAAGCACUUUGAAAAGAGGGUUAAACAGCACGUGAAAUUGUUAAAAGGGAAGCGCUUAUGACCAGACUUGCGCCCGGUGAAUCACCCAGCUCUCGCGGCUGGGGCACUUUGCCGGCUCAGGCCAGCAUCAGCUCGCUGUCGGGGACAAAAGCUUCGGGAACGUAGCUCUCUUCGGGGAGUGUUAUAGCCCGUUGCACAAUACCCUUCGGCGGGCUGAGGUACGCGCUCCGCAAGGAUGCUGGCGUAAUGGUCAUCAGCGAC